ACAGCUUGAGGUUAGUUCAAGUGCUUUAAAUCUGUAUGAGUAAACCACUCACAGGAAAAGAGACGCAGGAAGUCAUAAACAGAGAAGACUGUAUUUUUAAGAUCUUUAUCAAGAUGAUGAAACAGAGAAAAACAGAGGUCAUUUUUGUCUGGGUCUUAGCCAUCUGGCUCUCUUCAGUUGUCAACAGUGAAAGUAAGUGAUUUUUAACAUUGUGAGACAGUGCACAAAAACAUAUUUUGGCUGUUUUUUACCAGGCAAAAAAGCUACUUGAGGUAUCAAUCUUUUGUCUUUUAGUAAGGAUGUGUCACAUCCAGCAAAUACAGAAAGUACAGCCAUAUUUCAAAUAAUUUUGGAUAAGAUUCUGCUAUAAAAGUACAAAACAUUUUUGGUUCAAAAGAUCCAUGCUGUCUGGCUAGGACCUUGAUAAAGAGAAAGAUGGAAUCUGCAGUAUUACCUUGAGAAGACCUGAGUAAAGAUGAUCUGCUUUCUACAGAAACAAACUUUCUUCAAGUUCUCACAACUCCUUCUUUCCUAGCUGAACUGGCUAUGGCCACAAUAUGCACUAAACAAAAAUAUAAACACAACAUGUUGUGUUUCAUGAGCCGAAAUAAAAGAUCACCGAAAUGUUCCAUACGCACAAAAAGCUUAUUUCUCUCAAAAUCUGUGCACAAAUUAGUUUACAUCCCUGUUAGUGAGCAUUUCUCCUUUGCCAAGAUAAUCCAUCCACCUGACAGGUGUGUCAUAUCAAGAAGCUGAUUAAACAGUAUGAUCAUUACACAGGUGCACCUUGUGCUGGGGACAAUAAAAUGCCACUCUAAAUUGUGCAGUUUUGUCCCACACCACAAGCCAAGUUUUGAGGGAGCGUGCAAUUGGCAUGCUGACUCCAGGAAUGUCCACCAUAGCUGUUGCCAGAUAAUUGAAUGUUAAUUUCUCUACCAAAUCGAGUGCAAUGACGUUUUAGAGAAUUUGGCAGUAGGUCCAACCGGCCUCACAACAGCAGACCAUGUGUAAACACGCCAGACCAGGACCUCCACAUCUGGCUUCUUCACCUGUGGGAUCGUCUGAGACCCGCCACGCGGACGGCUGAUGAAACUGCGGGUUUGCACAACCGAAGAAUUUUUGCACAAACUGUCAGAAACCAUGUCAGGGAAGCUCUGCGUGCUUGUUGUCCUCACCAGGGUCUUGACCUGACUGCAGUUCGGCGUCGUAACCAACGUCAGUGGGCAAAUGUUCACCUUCGAUGACCACUGGAAGUGGGCUCUCCACGGAUUAAUCCCAGUUUCAACUGCUGAUCGGGCAGACAGCGUGAAUGUGGUCGUUUGGGCGAGCAGUUUGCUGAUGCCAACAUUGUGAACAGAGUGCCUCGUGGUGGCGGUGGGGUUAUGGUAUGGGCAGGCAUAAGCUAAUGCCAAUGAACACAAUUGCAUUUAAUCGAUGGCAAUUUGAAUCCCCAGAGAUACCGUGACGAGAUCUUGAGGCCCAUUGUUGUGCCAUUCAUCCGCCGCUAUCACCUCAUGUUUCAGUAUGAUAAUGCACAGCCCCAUGUCACAAGGAUCUGUACACAAUUCCUGGAAGCUGAAAAUGGCCCAGUUCUUCCAUGGCCUGCAUACUUAAUAGACAUGUCACCCAUUGAGCACGUUUGGGAUGCUCUGGAUCAGUGGUCGCCAACUGGUCAAUCUUCAAGGCAUUCCUAGUCGAUCACCAAAUAUUUCUGUAGAGAAGCCAACGAACGAUAAAGACUUACGCUCCUUUUUUAAAAUCGUGUUGAGCGCACCGGUAAGCAAAGUGUUUCCAUGAGACAAACUCUGCCUACCCACAGGACCGGCAAAUCUGACUAAAUCGAGUGCACCUACUGCGCUGCCCAAUCGGAUAGCUCAAAUCACCGUGGCUACAGAGCUUCCAUGACCCUAGCCACAGCUAAGUUUAAUAGGCUACUGCGUACGUAAGAUUUUAUAACUUUUAAAACCAUGACCACAGAGAGACUGUCAACGAAUACAGUAAAGAGUUGCUGAUUUUAUGAGAACAACAUGAAUUUGUGCAUGAGGCAGAUGUGGGACUCGAGUUUCGCCAUCAGGUGGAAGACUGUGUCCCCUCUCUCUGGUCAGUCUCACCGGAGGAAAGGAAGGAGAGAUCAGGGACGUGAGAGGUGGUUGGUAGUCUUUUGAACGGUCAUCCAACUUGGAAUUCCAAGUCGGAAAACUCGGGCGUCUUUCUAGAGCUCCGACUUUUCGACCUGGAGAUCACUGAAGUCGUGAUUUGACCUCGUUGACCAUCAGAUGCAGGCAGGGGCGAAAAUAUGAGAUCAACCUUGGAGGGGACAAUUACAUUACAUUUUCUCAAGAGCAAUUCCUGAGGGGGACACCAAAAGUAGUGCUGUAACACAUAGCAUACGUUGUUAAAUGUAUAUUGAGGAACCAUAAUUCCUACAACUGGAUAAUUGAUAGGUACAGUAGUUAACUGAAGGGUUUUCCCAACUUGUUCAAAUGUUUAAAUCAUUAUAAUUCUACUACUAAUAAUAGUUAUAGCAGUGCUCCUUACCAGUCCAGUAUGUAUGCAGGUAUUCAUACUUACAACCAGCAAUAUCAAGAAAGGUCAGUAGGUGACAAUGGUACUGUACACUGUAUGGGUGUAGUUUUCAUAAAUACAAUGAACAUGGUGUGAUCACAUCUAAAAGAAUCUCCAUUGAGAACCAUCACAAAGUUGGUCUCCGUAUUGAAUUGACCUUUUAAUUUGACUUUUUCUGAUACAUUUAUAUAGUCAUUAAAUAUGUCCACCUGGCCUGAGUCUACAAUAUCUUUGCAAGAACAAAAAGCUUAAAAUAAGUACAGUUCUAAAAGCAAAAUAACUACUUCAAUGAAAAACCCAAAUAAAUCAAACAAAAUAUCCUCCAGUGUCUCAACUCAGCCAGUGUCUCAACUCAGCCAGUGUCUCAACUCAGCCAGUGUCUCAACUCAGCCAGUGUCUCAACUCAGCCAGUGUCUCAACUCAGUC